GCCACGCUUAAAGUGCGUGGAGCUAACGGAGACCCCCUUCCCGCUAUGCGCAACCCUGUACUCUGCUGGGUGGCCCUUUGUCUCCUCAGAGCAGGACCCGUGGAUGGUGGCGUCACUCAAACUCCAAAGUUCCUGCUCGGAAAAGAAGGACAGGAUGUGAACCUGGGGUGUGAACAGAAUUUGGGUCAUGACGCCAUGUAUUGGUACCGGCAGGACCCAGGGCAAGGGUUAAAACUGAUCUACUACUCAACGGUUGCAAAGGAUGUCCAGAAAGGAGACCUAGCGGAAGGCUAUGCUGCCUCCCGGGAGCAGAAGGCUGCCUUUCCUCUCACCGUGACAUCAGCCCAGAAGAAACAGACUUCUCUCUAUCUCUGUGCCAGCAGUUUAGCACAGUGGGGCACAGCCACCUCUUCUCUGUGCAGUUAA